rnacentral:tRNA from 1 species
GGAUGGGUUCCCGAGAGGCCAAAGGGGGCAGACUGUAAAUCUGUUAGCAACGCUUUCGAAGGUUCGAAUCCUUCCCCAUCCA